CCAGACUCCUACGGGAGGCAGCAGUGGGGAAUAUUGCACAAUGGGGGAAACCCUGAUGCAGCGACGCCGCGUGAGUGAAGAAGUAAUUCGUUACGUAAAGCUCUAUCAGCAGGGAAGAAAAUGACAGUACCUGACCAAGAAGCCCCGGCUAACUACGUGCCAGCAGCCGCGGUAAUACGUAGGGGGCAAGCGUUAUCCGGAUUUACUGGGUGUAAAGGGAGCGUAGACGGUUAUGUAAGUCUGGAGUGAAAGGCCGGGGCCCAACCCCGGGACUGCUUUGGAAACUGUGUAACUGGAGUACAGGAGGGGCAGGCGGAAUUCCUGGUGUAGCGGUGAAAUGCGUAGAUAUCAGGAGGAACACCAGUGGCGAAGGCGGCCUGCUGGACGGUGACUGACGCUGAGGCUCGAAAGCGCGGGGAGCAAACAGGAUUA
rnacentral:rRNA from 1 species